GGCUGCUUUGUGGAGAUAUUUGCGACAUUUUAAUCUUGUUGAUGCCAUUCCCAACCCAUCGAAGGAGCAACUAGUAGAUGUUGUGCAGAGGCAUUUCAUGUCACAGCAAAUCGACGA